GACGAACGCUGGCGGCGUGCUUAACACAUGCAAGUCGAACGAAAAUACCAAGCUUGCUUGGUUGAUUAGUGGCGAACGGGUGAGUAACACGUGAGUAACCUGCCCCUUACUUUCCUGGAUAACUGCUCGAAAGGGUAGCUAAUACGGGAUAUUCUGACCAGCCUGCAUGGGUUGGUUUGGAAAGGUUGUUUUUCUGGUAAGGGAUGGGCUCUCGGCCUAUCAGCUUGUUGGUGGGGUGAUGGCCUACCAAGGCUUUGACGGGUAGCCGGCCUGAGAGGGUGGAAGAUCACACUGGGACCGCGAUACAGCCCAGACUGGUAGGCGACGGAGCAGUGGGGAGGACAAUGGAGUGGGCGCAAGCCUGAUGAAGCGGCGCCGGGUGAGAGAUGAAGGCGUUCGGGAUGUAAACCUGUUUCGUAAGAGAACAAGGCAAUGAUUUUUUGGUGGUGUUGAGGGUACCUGGAGAAGAAGCGCCGGCUAACUACGUG
rnacentral:rRNA from 1 species